AUUGAACGCUGGCGGCAUGCCUUACACAUGCAAGUCGAACGGUAACGGGCCUUCGGGUGCCGACGAGUGGCGAACGGGUGAGUAAUACAUCGGAACGUGCCCGAUCGUGGGGGAUAACGAGGCGAAAGCUUUGCUAAUACCGCAUACGAUCUACGGAUGAAAGCAGGGGACCGCAAGGCCUUGCGCGGACGGAGCGGCCGAUGGCAGAUUAGGUAGUUGGUGGGAUAAAAGCUUACCAAGCCGACGAUCUGUAGCUGGUCUGAGAGGAUGAUCAGCCACACUGGGACUGAGACACGGCCCAGACUCCUACGGGAGGCAGCAGUGGGGAAUUUUGGACAAUGGGCGCAAGCCUGAUCCAGCCAUGCCGCGUGCAGGAUGAAGGCCUUCGGGUUGUAAACUGCUUUUGUAAGGAACGAAAAGCCUUCUUUUAAUACAGGAGGGUCAUGACGGUACCGUAAGAAUAAGCACCGGCUAACUACGUG
rnacentral:rRNA from 1 species